UACGGAGGGUGCAAGCGUUAAUCGGAAUUACUGGGCGUAAAGCGCACGCAGGCGGUCUGUCAAGUCGGAUGUGAAAUCCCCGGGCUCAACCUGGGAACUGCAUUCGAAACUGGCAGGCUAGAGUCUUGUAGAGGGGGGUAGAAUUCCAGGUGUAGCGGUGAAAUGCGUAGAGAUCUGGAGGAAUACCGGUGGCGAAGGCGGCCCCCUGGACAAAGACUGACGCUCAGGUGCGAAAGCAUGGGGAGCAAAAGGG
rnacentral:rRNA from 1 species